rnacentral:misc_RNA from 1 species
GAUGAAGAACGUAGCGAAAUGCGAUAAGUAAUGUGAAUUGCAGAGUUCCGUGAAUCAUCGAAUCUUUGAACGCACAUUGCGCCCCCUGGUAUUCCGGGGGGCAUGCCUGUCCGAGCGUCAUUACAACCCUCAAGCUCAGCUUGGUAUUGGGCCCCGCCGACCCGGCGGGCCCUAAAGUCAGUGGCGGUGCCGUCCGGCUCCGAGCGUAGUAAUUCUUCUCGCUCUGGAGGUCCGGUCGUGUGCUCGCCAGCAACCCCCAAUUUUUUUCAGGUUGACCUCGGAUCAGGUAGGGAUACCCGCUGAACUUAAGCAUAUCAAUAAGCGGAGGA